rnacentral:rRNA from 1 species
GACGAACCGUGCGAACGUUGUUCGGAAUCACUGGGCUUAAAGGGCGCGUAGGCGGUUGGUCAAGUCAGGGGUGAAAUCUUUCGGCUCAACCGGAAAACUGCCUUUGAUACUGACUGGCUGGAGGGAGAUAGGGGUUGCGGGAACUACCAGUGGAGCGGUGAAAUGCGUUGAUAUUGGGAGGAACGCCGGUGGCGAAAGCGCGCAACUGGAUCUCUUCUGACGCUGAGGCGCGAAAGCUAGGGGAGCAAACGGG